AACGAACGCUGGCGGCAGGCCUAACACAUGCAAGUCGAGCGCGCCCUUCGGGGUGAGCGGCGGACGGGUGAGUAACGCGUGGGAACGUGCCCUUUUCUACGGAAUAGCCUCGGGAAACUGAGGGUAAUACCGUAUACGCCCUUUGGGGGAAAGAUUUAUCGGAAAAGGAUCGGCCCGCGUUGGAUUAGGUAGUUGGUGGGGUAAUGGCCUACCAAGCCGACGAUCCAUAGCUGGUUUGAGAGGAUGAUCAGCCACACUGGGACUGAGACACGGCCCAGACUCCUACGGGAGGCAGCAGUGGGGAAUCUUAGACAAUGGGGGCAACCCUGAUCUAGCCAUGCCGCGUGAGUGAUGAAGGCCUUAGGGUUGUAAAGCUCUUUCAGCUGGGAAGAUAAUGACGGUACCAGCAGAAGAAGCCCCGGCUAACUCCGUG
rnacentral:rRNA from 1 species